rnacentral:rRNA from 1 species
UACGAAGGGGGCUAGCGUUGCUCGGAAUCACUGGGCGUAAAGGGUGCGUAGGCGGGUUCUUAAGUCAGGGGUGAAAUCCUGGAGCUCAACUCCAGAACUGCCUUUGAUACUGGCGAUCUCGAGUCCGGGAGAGGUGAGUGGAACUGCGAGUGUAGAGGUGAAAUUCGUAGAUAUUCGCAAGAACACCAGUGGCGAAGGCGGCUCACUGGCCCGGUACUGACGCUGAGGUGCGAAAGCGUGGGGAGCAAACAGG